rnacentral:rRNA from 1 species
AUUGAACGCUGGCGGCAGGCCUAACACAUGCAAGUCGAACGCGUGGCGGCGGGGUGAGUUAUGUCUGGUAAACUCCCACAUGGAUGGGGAUAACUACUGGACACGGUAGCUAAUAGCGCAUACUCUCCGAUGCGCACAGAUGGGAUUAGCUUGUUGGUGGGGUAACGGCUCACCAAGGCGACGCUCCCUAGCUGGGCUGAGAGGCUGACCAGCCACACUGGAACUGAGACACGGUCCAGACUCCUACGGGAGGCAGCAGUGGGGAAUAUUGGACAAUGGGCGAAAGCCUGAUGCAGCCAUGCCGCGUGUGUGAAGAAGGUCUUCGGGUUGUAAAGCACUUUAAGUUGGGAGGCGUUACCAACAGAAUAAGCACCGGCUAACUUCGUGCCAGCAGCCGCGGUAAUUC